rnacentral:rRNA from 1 species
GAUGAACGCUGGCGGCGUGCCUAAUACAUGCAAGUCGAGCGAACAGACGAGGAGCUUGCUCCUCUGACGUUAGCGGCGGACGGGUGAGUAACACGUGGAUAACCUACCUAUAAGACUGGGAUAACUUCGGGAAACCGGAGCUAAUACCGGAUAAUAUAUUGAACCGCAUGGUUCAAUAGUGAAAGACGGUUUUGCUGUCACUUAUAGAUGGAUCCGCGCCGCAUUAGCUAGUUGGUAAGGUAACGGCCUACCAAGGCAACGAUGCGUAGACGACCUGUGAGGGUGAUCGGCCACAUGGGAAGUGGGACACGGACCAGACUCCUACGGGAGGCAGCAGUAGGGAAUCGUACGCAAUGGGCGAAAGCAUGACGGAGCAACGCCGCGUGAGUGAUGAAGGUCUUCGGAGCGUAAAACUCUGUUAUGAGGGAAGAACAAAUGUGUAAGUAACUAUGCACGUCGUGACGGUAACUAAUCAGAAAGCCACGGCUAACUACGUG